AUGUGACCGGAUACAUUAGUACCUGUAUCAACAACAUUGUGCCUACCAAGUCAUGAGGUUUCCCAACCAGAAGCCCUGGAUAAACAGUCAGACGGCAUGCGAGGGCUACACCUUUCCCCUUAUCCGCUUGCCAUAGCCUACCUGGAGGAUUGCUAUGGCAACAGGUUUCCAGUAGCGACGGGGUUACCACUACAUACGAGCAGAAAAAAAAACGGAACAACCGAGCAACAGCAGCAGAGGGAGAGGUCUGCCAGGCACCGUCAAAAAAGAAAAAUACGCACAGCGAGGCUUUUCUGUUAUGAAGUGAGAAGCCCUGCGGUCUGCAAGCACGCGUCUGUUCGUUGUUGUUUGUUCAGUGAAAUAAACAGUAUCGUCGGAUCCGCCGGAAUGAGCCGCUGACGGAGGUUCUCGAGCUCCCCUGAUAACAACAGGUGCCGUCAGACGCACCGGAGAGGAAAAGACUGUUUGGGCGCAUUUUGAUGCAUCCACGUGUGCAGUAAGGAGUCCAGCUGUGGCGCAUUUCCCGGCGUAUUACAGUGUACGGCUGACCGUGGACAGCCAGGUCUUAUCCACUGAACCCAUCUUCACCUACAUAGACUUUCAGCAACCAACAAAGAGCUGGAGCCGAGACGGUCUAGCAUGGAUAUGCCCAGGAUGGCCGAGGGCCUCUUCAGCAGCACGCUGUCCUCGUCAGGCGGCGGGCACCAUGUGCCUUCCUACCUGACGCUGGAGCAGAAGGCCGCCUUCAUCUUUGUGCUGCUACUCUUCAUCUUUCUGGCCCUGCUCAUUGUGCGCUGUUUCCGCAUCCUGCUGGACCCAUACCGGAGCAUGCCCUCAUCCAACUGGACAGACCACACUGAGAAGGACACAUUUGAUUACCGCAUUGUCUGAGGAGCCCUGACGGUGCACAAAUUAAAAAAUUUUUAAUAAAAUAGACCGAUUUGAUGCUUAAAGAGCACUUUGGCCCUAAGAACAAAUGACUGCUGAUUCACCAGGAAAACUGCUUUCAGAAAGUCUUCUGAGAGUUCAGACUGAAAAAAAUUUCAACACUGGAUUGUCAUUGAAAUUAGUGCCAACCAGAGUUCAACAGCUUCUCCCUGCCAAAUCAGAAAAUUCUCAACUAUAACAAGACAACCAGAAGUAUGCUAUGAAGAUUACUGAUCAAGCUGCCACAACAUGCAGUUCAAGUGAUGCACCAGAGCCAGUUAAGGUUCACCUAUAACUCCCUUCCUCUGCCAUCAGUUCUGUUGUGGACUACCUCAUUUCUCCUCCAUCUUAUGUGUGGAAGUAUUUUCUCACAUCUCACACAGGGUUGAAUAUCUGUUGAGAUCCAAGCUAUUUGGAUAAUAACAGUGUUUACAUCAUGUUUACAUCCUUAGAUUUUUAUUAAUAACGUAGACAAUCAGUGUUUAAAGUAGCUAAAGAAAUUGCAGAGUAAAUAGCCAUUGAGGUAUUUUAUUUUUUAUCAUAUUUUGUCCUGAUAUGUAGACAGACAGGUAUAAAAGUCUUUGUGUGUCAGAUAUGAUUCAGGUGAAGAGGAGGUUAAUGUGUGGUGUCUGCAGUAUAUAGGAUAUUCUGUGGUGGUCAUUGCAUUGAAGACACUUAGGUGAGACAAUGAGAAAGACCGGUGUCAAGGUUAUAAAAGCAGGUUAAAUAAUCCUAUUGUGGUGGAAAUGUUUUCCCUUUAAUGUUUGGGAAAGGUUUGAAUCGAUAGAUGCCAGCAGUGAGUAAAUAUAACUGUUCUGUCUGCGUGAUUAAAAAAACAAUUUGUCCUUUCAGUCAUGGAGGGCCUUCAGUGUCCACGUCUUUAGAUGUCAGCAACCAAAAGAGGUAGUAAAGAAAAAUGCGUUUACUGUGGUGUACCGUGUGCCUAAUUUAAAAAAACAAAAAACAAAAAAAAAAAAAAACACGUUUAGACCGAUGUUUUCAGAAAAAGAAAGAAAAUCGGUCUAUAUUUUUGUCUUUAAAUGUAGUUUUUUGUGUAACGCCCAUGUAAACAGCAGUUUACUGCCUGCAGUUGGUAUUUUGACAGUUGGUAUGCCAGGCCUGCAGAGUGUUAAUGAAUAUGACAAUGCACUUUCACAUGAAACCCUUUACAAACUGAUGUUGUGGCUCUUUUGUUGGGCAACUUAUGAACUGUGCGCCUUAUAGUGUAGAUUGUUUACAGUAUCGUAGGUAGUGGAGACAUUGGAAAACGGUGUCUUUGCACUUCACUGAGAUGUCAUAUAACCCACUAAAACAAUAAAACAAAAGAAAAAGAUAAAUAAAAAACAUUCCCUGAUCUUGCUCCUGCCCCGGGCAGGAAGGGAACUGUGACCCUUCUGACGAUGUGAUGUUCUUGUGAUCUGCUGUGGCCUUUUCCUACCUGUUGCAGAUAUGUUUUUUUUUUACCCUGCAUGUAUCACUUGCAGAUUGUCCUCUCAGUGCAUGAUAAAUGGUGAAGUGCUUUAAUCCUGAUGUUGUAGCUGUGGGUCAAGCAGCCAUUUACUGUCUAUACCGGAGCCUUUUGUUUUGGCCUGUUUUUUGCCUGCAACCGCUGUUCUUUUAUAAUAAAAAUCAUCACAGUA